GACAGAGGGUGCAAACGUUGUUCGGAAUUACUGGGCGUAAAGCGUGUGUAGGCGGCUAGGAAAGUCGGAUGUGAAAGCCCCGGGCUCAACUCGGGAAGUGCACUCGAUACUGCUUAGCUCGAGUACCGGAGAGGUUGGUGGAAUUCUCGGUGUAGAGGUGAAAUUCGUAGAUAUCGAGAGGAACACCGGUGGCGAAGGCGGCCAACUGGACGAGUACUGACGCUGAGACACGAAAGCGUGGGGAGCAAACAGG
rnacentral:rRNA from 1 species